AUUGCUGGUAAAUAUUUUUAAUUUCCAAUUUUGUUUUACGGCAAAAAAAAAUUUUAGAUAUACAAUAAUGUAAAGUUUGCUGUUAUAUAUUAUAAUAUGUUUUCUGUACGUAGCCUCGAUGCUAGAUUUUUUCCCGCCACUGUAAUAGAAGCAAGCAUAGGCCAAACAAACGGUACUCUUGAAAAGCAAACGAAAAAGACAAAAGGGAACAUGCAAGGUAGCGCGCGGUUUUUCUCGCAGAUUUCAUUUGAAAGAGUAAAGUUCAGCCACAAGUGUUCUUACAAAAUUACCAAAUUUUUUACCAACCAACCAUAAAUUAUUCUUUUCCCAGGUACCGCUCUUUAAAUCCAUUUUGGGGAAUAAUUUAAUAAAAAACUUGGACCAAAUAAUAAGCCCUGAAGUAAUCAUGCAAUUAAAUUACAGUGGGUCUAGACAUAAAUAUGGACUUGCAAAUUUCCACAACAUAAAUUCAGUCCUGCAAGAAUCAGACGUCCGGUUGGCCUUUAUGCGCCAAAAAAAUAAAAUAUAUAAGGAGAGAAGCGCAUUAAGGAGGCCCACCCGGAGCCAGGAGCCGAACCGUACGAUUCUGACUCUGAAUAAAAAUAAAUAAAUAAAAAUAUGAAAUUGAAA